rnacentral:rRNA from 1 species
GACGAACGCUGGCGGCGUGCUUAACACAUGCAAGUCGAACGGAAAGGCCCUGCUUUUGUGGGGUGCUCGAGUGGCGAACGGGUGAGUAACACGUGAGUAACCUGCCCUUGACUUUGGGAUAACUUCAGGAAACUGGGGCUAAUACCGGAUAGGAGCUCCUGCUGCAUGGUGGGGGUUGGAAAGUUUCGGCGGUUGGGGAUGGACUCGCGGCUUAUCAGCUUGUUGGUGGGGUAGUGGCUUACCAAGGCUUUGACGGGUAGCCGGCCUGAGAGGGUGACCGGCCACAUUGGGACUGAGAUACGGCCCAGACUCCUACGGAGGGCAGCAGUGGGGAAUAUUGCACAAUGGGCGGAAGCCUGAUGCAGCAACGCCGCGUGCGGGAUGAAGGCCUUCGGGUUGUAAACCGCUUUCGCCUGUGACGAAGCGUGAGUGACGGUAAUGGGUAAAGAAGCACCGGCUAACUACGUG